ACUCCUACGGGAGGCAGCAGUGGGGGAAUAUUGGACAAUGGGCGGCAAGCCUGAUCCAGCCAUGCCGCGUGAGUGAUGAAGGCCCUAGGGUUGUAAAAGCUCUUUCACCGGUGAAGAUAAUGACGGUAACCGGAGAAGAAGCCCCGGCUAACUUCUGUGCCAGCUAGCCGCGGUAAUACGAAGGGGGCUAGCGUUGUUCGGAUUUACUGGGCGUAAAGCGCACGUAGGCGGACUUUUAAGUCAGGGGUGGAAAUCCCGGGGCUCAACCCCGGAACUGCCUUUGAUACUGGAAGUCUUGAGUAUGGGUAGAGGUGAGUGGAAUUCCGAGUGUAGAGGUGAAAUUCGUAGAUAUUCGGAGGGAACUACCAGUGGCGAAGGCGGGCUCACUGGACCAUUACUGACGCUGAGGUGCGAAAGCGUGGGGA
rnacentral:rRNA from 1 species